rnacentral:rRNA from 1 species
AUUGAACGCUGGCGGCAGGCCUAACACAUGCAAGUCGAACGAGUGGCGGACGGGUGAGUAAUGUCUGGGAAACUGCCUGAUGGAGGGGGAUAACUACUGGAAACGGUAGCUAAUACCGCAUACCAUCAGAUGUGCCCAGAUGGGAUUAGCUAGGUGGUGGGGUAACGGCGCAUCAAGGCGAAGAUCCCUAGCUGGCCUGAGAGGAUGACCAGCCACACUGGAACUGAGAUACGGUCCAGACUCCUACUGGAGUCAGCAGUGGGGAAUAUUGCACAAUGGUCGCAAGCCUGAUGCAGCCAUGCCGCGUUGAUGUAGAAGGCCUUCGGGUUGUAAAGUACUUUCAGCGGGGAGGCUUUACCCGCAGAAGAAGCACCGGCUAACUCCGUGCCAGCAGCCGCGGUAAUAC